rnacentral:rRNA from 1 species
UACGAGGGGGACUAGCGUUGUUCGGAAUUACUGGGCGUAAAGCGCGCGUAGGCGGAUCGCUAAGUCAGGGGUGAAAUCCCAGGGCUCAACCCUGGAACUGCCUUUGAUACUGACGAUCUGGAGAUCGGGAGAGGUGAGUGGAAUUCCGAGUGUAGAGGUGAAAUUCGUAGAUAUCGGGAGGAACACCGGUGGCGAAGGCGGCGACCUGGGUAGAUACUGACGCUGAGGUGCGAAAGCGUGGGGAGCGAACAGG